rnacentral:misc_RNA from 1 species
GGAAGGAUCAUUACCACACCAAAAAACACCCCACGUGAAUGUAUUCUGUAUGAGGCUUUGUGUUGCUCUUCGGAGCGACUAGCCGAAGGUUUCGCAAGAAACCGAUGUAUUUUUAAUCCCUUUUAAAAAAUGACUGAUCAAAAACUGCAGACAGAAAUGUGUGCAUUCAAUUGAAAUACAACUUUCAACAGUGGAUGUCUAGGCUCGCACAUCGAUGAAGAACGCUGCGAACUGCGAUACGUAAUGCGAAUUGCAGAAUUCAGUGAGUCAUCAAAAUUUUGAACGCAUAUUGCACUUCCGGGUUAGUCCUGGGAGUAUGUUUGUAUCAGUGUCCGUUAAUACAAAAUUGUUUCAUUUAUUUGAAGCAGAAUGUGAAGUGUCUUGCUUUUGCAAGUCCUUUCAAAUGAGUAUUACCUGUACGUCCUCGUGGGAUGCACUAUAUAAAGGUAUUUAUGAUUUUGAUUUCGAAAGUCUUGUGUGAUGGUGCACAGCUUUGAAGGAAAAAUAAAUUGCGGUAGUUUUGCUUGUGCUUCGGUACAGGUGAACAACAUAUUGCUUUUUGUGGAUCUGGAGGAGUUGGUACUGGAAGGCAAGAUGCGUUUUCAAAUAGUACGUACUGGUGUAUUCCUUGAUGUAUGGAGGAAAAUUGGGAACUAUAUCCAAUUUGGACCUGAUAUCAAACAAGACUACCCGCUGAACUUAAGCAUAUCAUUAAGCGGAGGAAAAGAAACUAACAAGGAUUCCCCUAGUAACGGCGAGUGAAGCGGGAAGAGCUCAAGCUUAAAAUCUCCAUGUUUACAUGGCGAAUUGUAGUCUAUUGAGGCUGUUGUCAGCAUAGCGAUCUGGGACAAGUCCCUUGGAAAAGGGCAGCAUGGAGGGUGAUACUCCCGUCUCUGCUCAGAUUGUCUGUGUGUACGAUACGCUUUCUUUGAGUCGAGUUGUUUGGGAAUACAGCUCAAAGUAGGUGGUAAAUUCCAUCUAAAGCUAAAUAUUGGUGCGAGACCGAUAGCGAACAAGUACCGUGAGGGAAAGAUGAAAAGAACUUUGAAAAGAGAGUUAAAGAGUACCUGAAACUGUUGAAAGGGAACCGUAUCGUUUCCAGUGUUGUAUCCUGUGCAUAUUUCAUUAGCGGAGUAAUUUGCUGGUGCCCUGUGCAUGGGUGUGACGUCAGAGUCAGUUUGUAUGCUGCGGGAGAUGGUCAGUAAGGAGGUGCGUCACUUCGGUGAAAGUUAUAUCUUGCUGUCUAGUAGCCGUGGUUGAGACUGAGGUGCCUACAACAUGCCUUGGGGUUCAGUGUUGUCUCGUUUUGGUGACUGCUUGGAUAGCUUGCUAUGUCUGCGGUUAAUCAGGGCGAUUGAUGAUGUUGAUAACCUCUGCUGUUCGGGACUCUGGCGAAAUGGAGCGAUACGACCCGUCUUGAAACACGGACCAAGGAGUCUAACAUGUGUGCAAGUAUUAGGGCGUGGAAACCCAAAUGCGUAAUGAAAGUAAAUGCUACUUAUGUAGCUGUGGUAGGAAAGGGCUGUAAUGGUCCUGGCACUAUCGACCGAUCAUGAGCCUACGGGCAAAAGAUUUGAGUAUGAGCAUAUAUGUUGGUACCCGAAAGAUGGUGAACUAUGCCUGAAUAGGGUGAAGCCAGGGGAAACUCUGGUGGAAGCUCGUAGCGAUUCUGACGUGCAAAUCGAUCGUCAAAUUUGGGUAUAGGGGCGAAAGACUAAUCGAACCAUCUAGUAGCUGGUUCCCUC